CUCAUGGUGUGCUUUUAAGAAUAAAAACCAUGUUCUGGGUUGACACACUUCAGUUAACAAGAAUAGUUAGCCAGAAGCAGAAAUACAGAAGCCAUAGAGCAAGUCUUUGGUGCCUUUUAAAUUAUCAUGUACACAUGUGUGGGGUUGAGGUGUAUGCACAAGGACAAGACUCCCAGACCUCCACCUGAUGUUUGGCUGUGGGUCUCUGCAUCUGUUUCCAUCCACUGCUGGAUUAAGCCUCUCUGCUGACAGCAUCUCCGGGUCACUGACAUGGGAGGGACUGAAGAACACUCUCAGAGUUGAGACUGGUUCUCUCAUAAUGCAGUCCUGAAGAGCUGCUGGGGUUUCUAAAUGCCACUGUUCAUAAGGGGAUCUGAACAUAGGCUCUUCCCAUCUCUCAUCGGAUCCCAGCGGGUUCCUUCCCAUGGCAACGGCUUUUGAAAACUACAGAACAUUUGUAAAAUAAGAAAAUCAUUCGUGAUCUACAAAUUUUGGUUCCUUUCAAACCACCUGUAGCACUCUGAGUUCAUGGACUGAUAGCUACCUGUGUAAACUGCCUUGGACACACGCUGCCUCCCCUGGCAGGCUCUACCAUGUGCUUGGGCCACUGGAAUUGAGUAGACUGACCAGACAUCUAUCACCUGUGAGCAGGAACGUUGGUGCUUGCAGACUUUGGCUUGGCCUCCUUACUUCUGCCAUAAAGGUCAAAGUCCAAGAUUGCCGCUCCUUCGAUCCAGCAUCUUGAAGAGGACAAAUCAAGAAGGCCUGGCAUAGCUCCCAGGCCUGAGCAUAUUCCUCAGCCAACUUGCAGCUCCAGGGAGGAAUCUGUAGUUAUGUCUGUUUAUAUUACUGUCUGUGUGAGUAUACAUGUGUGUGUGCACUACAGCAUUCUUGUGAAAGGCCAAGAAUUUUCAGACAUAUACUUCCUUCCUCCGUGAGACCCAAGGAUCCAACAGCUCACCAGCUUUGUGCAGUGCUUUUUCCUGCCAAGCCAUCUUACUGGGCUUUAAAAAAUGCAUUUGGACCUUAGGGGGUUUUGUUUUAGUUUUAGAUAGUCUCCCAUUGGCAUAGACCUCAACAAUGUGGCUAUCUGGCUCACAAGCCCAGGGGAGCCUCACUUUGCGUUCUCUACACUGGGAAUAUAAGCUCAUGCCACUACAGCUGGCUUUUGUGGGGUUCUGAGGCUCACACAGCCACACAUUUACUGAGCCAGUUGCCCAGCCCAGCUACUAAGUUCUUGGAAGUUGUGAAGAAGCUGAGACAUCCCUUUGUAGAAGUGACCAACAGACCUGCACGCAAGUGUGGAGUCACUGUGCUGUGUGGCCAUCAGUCAACAACUGACCACAGUCCUCCACUGACACUCACCUAAGACUGAAUGGAACUGAGACCUGACUGGGGACAGAGACUUAGGGAUGUCUGUAGCAUGCAUCUGACAGUGGCUCGCCAACACUCCUCCCAUUGCUGGGAGAAUACAGCUGAGCACUGCAGACCCUCCUAACCAACCCUUCCGUUGCUUCAGAAAUACCUGCUCUUCCAUCCCUAAAUAUUUUAAAAUUAUUUUGUGCAUAUGGGUAUUUUUUUUAAUAUGGAAGGUUUCACGGAUUUGCAUAGCAUUCUUGCGCAGGGAUUCUAAUCUUCUGUGCACCAUUCCAAGUUUGGUAUAUGUGCUGCUGAAGCAAGCAUACAUAUGGGUAUUUUGCUUGCAAGGAUGUCUGUGCACCACAUAUGUGCCUGCAGAGCCCAGAAGAGGGAGUUGGAUCUCCUAGAACUGGAAUUACAGAUGGUUGUGAGCCACCACCUGAAUGCUAAGAAUUGACCCCAGGUCCUCUGGAAGAGCAGCUGAUGCUCUGACCUUUGAGCCAUCUCUCCAAGCCCCAUCUUUAUGUCUUACUAGGGUGAGAGGCUGUUGUUAUCAGAUACUUUGUGGGGAUGGAGGAGAGGUAGGGGUGCGGUGGGGGUGGGUAGAGAGGAAGUAGGUAGUAAGGUAGCAGUGAGAUAGGGUGGCUGCCUGAAGUUCAGGUGCAGUUCACCCAGAAGCCAGCAGCAUUCCUCUCUAGCACAGGGAUCACUAUGAGGAGCACCUUACCAGUCUCGGGAGGAGCACCUCCUCAGUGUCCCUAGGAGCCCCGAGGUUUUAUUAAGAAGUGAAUCAGCAAUGCCCUGUGUAGAAAGCACUCCCUCCACUGCUGCUCAAUACUGCCGCACAGUCUGCUGGUUCGUCCAAACCACCUAUGUUGCAAGUACAAAGAACCCCUGGUAGCUUUGCAUGUUGUUCCUUAGCAUGUAAACAGGCAUUAUUUUCACAUGGUUUUGAAUGAUGCUAAAAUACUCAAUUCAUCUUGUUUGUGCAUAUGCUUAAACCAGAGGUGAAUGUUAGGCGGCUUCCUUUAUUGCUCUCUGCCUUUAUAAAGAAAACUAACU
ensembl:lincRNA